GCGCGCGGGGUAUCUGAACCGGGCUGCAAAGCCGUUUACACGGGUUCGAAUCCCGUCGCUCGCUCCA
rnacentral:tRNA from 1 species